rnacentral:tRNA from 1 species
GCCUGGGUGGCCCAGUUGGUUGGGCAUCUGCCUUUGACUCAGAUCAUGGUCCCAGAGUCCUGGGAUCAAGCCCCACAUCAGGCU